rnacentral:rRNA from 1 species
UACGGGGGGAGCAAGCGUUGUUCGGAAUUACUGGGCGUAAAGGGCGCGUAGGCGGCCUUCUAAGUCGAACGUGAAAUCCCCGAGCUCAACUCGGGAACUGCGUCCGAUACUGGCAGGCUUGAAUCCGGGAGAGGGAUGCGGAAUUCCAGGUGUAGCGGUGAAAUGCGUAGAUAUCUGGAGGAACACCGGUGGCGAAGGCGGCAUCCUGGACCAAUAUUGACGCUGAGGAGCGAAAGCCAGGGGAGCAAACGGG